rnacentral:snoRNA from 1 species
UUCCAAAGUGUUGAGUUCAGUUCAGGUCAGCUUCCCUGCUCUGUUAAUUAAACUUUGGGACAUUGAAAUUGGCUAGGGGAGAUGAUUGGAUAGAAAUAUUACUCCAUUCAUUUACCUCCCAGCCUACAGUA